AACGAACGCUGGCGGCGUGCCUAACACAUGCAAGUCGAGCGAGAAAGGGGAGCAAUCCCUGAGUAAAGCGGCAGACGGGUGAGUAACACGUGGGUAAUCUGCCCUCGAGCGGGGAAUAACAUCUCGAAAGAGGUGCUAAUACCGCAUAACUUCCAAAGGCCUGAGGGCUUUUGGAGCAAAGGUGGGGAUCUUCGGACCUACCACUCGAGGAGGAGCCCGCGCCUGAUUAGCUAGNGGUGGGGUAAUGGCCUACCAAGGCGACGAUCAGUAGCCGGCCUGAGAGGGUGAACGGCCACACUGGAACUGAGACACGGUCCAGACUCCUACGGGAGGCAGCAGUGAGGAAUUUUGCGCAAUGGGCGAAAGCCUGACGCAGCAACGCCGCGUGGACGAUGAAGGUCUUCGGAUCGUAAAGUCCUGUCGAGUGGGAAAGAAAAUACAUGGCCUAAUACGCCAAGUAUUCGACUGUACC
rnacentral:rRNA from 1 species